rnacentral:lncRNA from 1 species
CGCAGCUCUGUCCAGACCUUCUGGCUUCUGUGGUGGGAAAUGGUCCCACUGCAUCCAUAAAUGACCAGGGACAGGUGGACCCUGAGGACAUCAGGCUGCUGUCAGGAAGGGACCUGGUUGCUGAAUAGCCUCGGGUGACAAAGGGACGUUUCAGACACCUGGACAUGAUCUGACUGAGCUGUCUCUGGGACAUGCAUCCUGGCAGGGUGUGUGUGUGCGUGUGUGUGUGUGUGCAUGCAUGCAUGUGUGUGUGCAUGAGUGUGUGUGCAUGCAUGCAUGUGUGUGUUCAUAUGUGUGCAUGUGUGUGUGUGUGCACAUGAGUGUCAUUUAAAAAGCUGUGGCAGAUCUGAGUUGACGCAUUAGCCCUUUCUCACCCAGCCCCUUCCCAACCAAAGGGAUGACAGCGGAGGGUGCAGUCUGGCAGGUUUGUCCACUUGGGUUUUCAGGUCAUGACCUGGUUCACAGACUACUCUCUAGUCUAAUAAACUGACCAGUGGCCGGUUCCACACUCUGCCGUUGUGACCCCGUGACAAUGUCACCUAUAUUCGAGAUCCUUCCAAGAUCUUCCCCGAGCUGCAUGUGGCUGUGCUGAUGGACACGGAAUUUCGUAGUGAUUUCUUCUGGAGACUCGGAUCAUUGUUGAUGCUGCUUCUCCAGGGAGACAGGCUUGCGAGGGUGAUAUGUUCCUCCUGUGUAAGUGACGUAUGUGGACAUGGUGGGCCUUGUGUUCAUGUCAGAGGAACGUCUUGUUCAGGGUCACUCAGCUGCCAAGGGGACUGUCCGGGUUCCACUUCAGAUCUGCCCUCUAGAGCCUGGCUCCUUCUUGGGACAACCACCUCCUCUGCCACCUGUGACGGCACCACCCAGGACACCAGGUCAAGGUCUGGGGUGGCCACCACAGUAAUUCAGGCUUCCAGAGAUGAGCCUCCACCCACGGCCCUGCCAGGGCUUCUAGGGUCCGUUCUCCAGCCGAGGACUGGCAGGUAUCCACACAUGCGGAGGGCCAGCAGCUCGGAAACAGGGUCUCCACGCUCCCUGGAACAUGGUGAGUUAGCUGCCUGGGAGCUCUGGUCGCAUAGGAACAAUGCCGAGGCUUUAAACUGGGAAAAAACUGAGAUCUCGACCAGCCCCUCAGGUAAACCCCCCGAAGUCGGAAGUGGGCACCGGCUGCACCAGCAGUAACAGUGUGACGGGAAGCAAGGUCGCGUCCAGGGACGUCCUUGGAUGUUUCCUCCAUUUAAAAUGACUUUCAUCUUACAGAAAGUGGAAUGUUCUGUAUUAUUGCAUCAUAGUAGAAUACGAAGCACCAUCACUCCCUUGGCUUAAUGACACUGGCACUGAUAUUUUGGAAAUAAUGAUUUUUCCUAGUUUAGAAUGUAAAAGGUAUUAUUAUAGAAACGUCGUUCACAAGCUCCUCACUCAGAGGGUGCCUGUGAUAACAAUUGAGUAUCUUCACAUGAAGUUGGAAGGACGUUGUAUGUGUUUACCCGGCUUUCCACUCAACGUGCAGCGUGCACACGGUCCUGUCACAGAAGUCCUGAGGAGAUGAGAGAUGGUACCCGUCCUGGGCAUGAGUCCUGGUUUCCGGUGGGUUUUGUAUUCCGAGCACCUCCUGUGUGCCCCGUGUCUGCAGCCCCAGAAUUACUGUGUAAUCUCCAUCUGUGAGAGGCUGUCUCCCCAGUGCGGCUGGCUGUGCUCUUUUCUUAGGAAUCCUUCCAAGUCAUGGGGCUUUUGAAAAUACAAAUAGGUCUUGCUGCAGCCUAGACGCAUGUGGUGGGAACUGUGUGUGUCCUCAAGGGCAGGCUGUAAGCAUAAUGAGAAGAAGCACACCACACAGUUCCAUUUAUAGGACCUUCAAACACAGGCAUGGCUCAGCGAUCGCCGCUGGAGGAGGACAUUUACGUUAAAGCUACAAAGUGCAGAGGAAUCAUCGUCACAGACGUCGACAGCGUCACCGUUAGGAGGAAGGAAAUAAGAUGGGCAGGUCCAGUUGCUGGUGACAUUCUCCGUCAUAACUCCAGGAGAAGUACCUUUUCCCCCGUCUAAAUACUGCGUUAUAAUCUAUGUUUAAAUCAUACAUAGAUGUUUAAGGCACCAUUUUGUAGAUAUGGUAGUUUAAAAGUAGAUGUUAAAUGUAGAUAUUUCAGUUUAAAAGUAGUUUAAAUUUUUUUAGAGAAAUGUUUCUGGGAGCUUUUUGUUCUUCUAAUGUUAUUUUACUAAUGUAUCAGAAUAAGGGUAGUUCUUAUCCACUAACUAUAUGUCCUGACACGAGGACUGUUCAUGGCCGCUGGACCGCAUCCCAUCUGCGGGAGUUCACACUCCGACUGGAAGGCCUGGGACGCUACCACAUCAGUCUGUGCUGCGGUUUCUUCUUCUUAGAUGAAUCAACAGGGUCCCUACUCAGAGUCGGGAAAGUGCCUUAGAGUGAGCACCCUCCGAUGCUCGUGAGCUGGUCCAACAAGGAGCUCCAUGUGGUCACUCUGACCUGAGGGAAGUCUCUAAGCAACAGGAUUUUUCCCUGUGGGACGUAAUUCUGCACCUGCCCAAGGUGAAAUUAAGCGAGAGCUCUCACGGAUGCUGGCGUGUGAGAGCCACUGCUCACAGCCCCGGCACAAUCGCUCCCUGUAGCAAGAACCAGCCCAGAGCCACCAGGCUGCUUUUGGUGCACCUGCCCUCUUCGGGGCCUGGGGAUGCGGUGGCCCCAGCUCGGUCUUGGAAUUGCUCUGCCCUCCUAUUCCUGGGCACCACACACAAAACCCCCAGCCAUGCACAGCUGCUGAUGCCAUGCAGCAUCAUUUUUCAAAAUAAAGCCAAUUGCCAGGCUGGAUUUCAGAAAUUCCCUGACGGGCCUGGCAAAAAGUGACCCCCAGGCUCCCGCAGGUGUGUGAGGGGGCCAGAGAGCAGAGGUGCAGACGGCCAAGGCCAGAAGUGGCUGCAGGUGGGAAUCAGCCAGCAGAUGGCCCUCCCUGGAAGCUCCUUCUCACUCGACUAACGCCAGUGGAGUUUUCACAGGUGACUUGCCCUUCUUCAACUCCUCACGCAAUCUCAUGAAGCCAAAACAUGGGCACUUUGUGAGUCUGUCUUGGCAGGAGUUUCACUGGACCUUUCUGGAGCACCUCCUUCCCACAGGCCCGCGGUGGAGGCACUGGGGACAGGCAACGAGGUCCCUGUCCUGGGGCAGCCGCUCCAGUGCAAGACUCAGGAGGCAGGAGGAGGGCUGCUUCCUGCCUGGAGUGGGAGCCCGGGAGAAGGAAAAGGAAGCCUAUGGGCUACCACCAGGAGGACAGAUCAGACAAACCCCAGAGGGCCUGUGCCGGGCAUCACUGUGCCUAUAAAAACAAGGCCCUGAGGCUUCAUGGAGCCACGGAGAACUUGGCCCCUGGGAUGUGAGGACUCUUGCAGCUCAAGAACCUUCUCAGAGAUGAGCAACCAAAGGGGUGUGCACCAGACCCCGGUUUAAUCUUUCCCACUUCCAAAUAUUAUGACGCUUUAAAAAUAGGAUUGGUCCCUCAAAGGCUAUAGCAUUCUUGAGUAGAAUUAGUCGCCGCAGUCCCAACCUCUGUCAGACUUUCCUUCUCAGAAUCAAACGCCAGUAGGACAUGGGGUAUUUCAUCAAAAGAUCAGAGAGGGACACAGAUUUCAGGAGACAGGCUGGGAGCUGGCACCGAUGGAAACCAGCUGUGGGAACAGGCUCAUUAUCUUCUCCUGCUUUUGUGUGUGCCUGGAAAUGUCCAUAAUAAGCAGAAAGAAUAAGAAAAAGGAAAAGAAAGGAAAAUGACAAUUACUGCUGUUCCUGCGAAAGAAAACUAAGCCUUAACCACCCUUCCUUCUCUCUCUCAAGGUGAAGAUCCGGUGAGAGAGCUGAGAGAGAGCAGUAAGGGGAUCUGUGCAGUGUCUCCUCCAUCGUGUGGGUGCACACAGUUCAUUUAUCCAUUCACCUGGUGAAGGACGUCUUGCUUGUUUCCAGAUUUUGGCAAUUUUGGAUAAAGAUGUUAUAAAUAUUUUGACGUGUUUUUGUAUUUUCAGUUCACAUGGAUGGAUACGUAGGCACAGGGGUGCUGGGUAAUACGAUACCUCUGUGUCCAACUUUGUACGAAACCGCCAGACCGUCUUCCAAAGUGGCUGCCCUGUUUUGCAUUCCCACCAGCAAUGAAUGAUUCCUGUUGUGUCUGGGGUUCUCUCCAGCAUCUGGUGUUAUCAUUCUUUUUUUUUUUUUGGAGGAAGAUUAGCCCUGAGCUAACUGCUGCCAAUCCUUCUCUUUUCACUGAGGAAGACUGACCCUGAGCUAACAUCCAUGCCCAUCUUCCUCUACUUUCUUUGUGGGAUGCCUACCACAGCAUGGCUUGCCAAGCAGUGCCAUGUCCGCACCCAGGAUCUGAACUGGCAAACCCCGGGCUGCUGAAGCGAACGUGUGCACUUAACUGCUGCGCCACCAGGCCGGCCCCUGGUGUUAUCAUUUUUAAUUUUUAAUUUUAGUCAUUCUAGUAGGUAUGUAGUGGCACCUAAUUGCGCCUUUAACUUGAGUUUACCCGAUGACAGGUGAUGUUGAUCGUCAUUUCCUAUGCUGAUUUGCUGUCCAUAUCUUCUUUAGCAAAGCAUCUAUUCAGAUCUUUUCCUCCUUUAACAAAUUAAGUUGUUUUCAUACUGUUGAGUUUUAAUAAUUGUUUAUAUAUUUUGGAUGUAAGUAAUUUAUUAGGUGUGUGAUUUGUAAAUAUAUUCUUCCAGUUUGUGGCUUGUUUUUACAUUCUUGUAACAGUGUCUUUCAAAGAGUAAAAGUUUUAAAUUUGGAGAAAGUCCAGUUUAUUAAUAUUCUUCUUUCAUGGGUCAUGUUUUGGUGUUAUAGCUAAAAACUCAUCACAAAACCGUGUCAUGUAUCUUUUCUCUUAGAAGUUUUAUAUUGAAUAUUUAGGUCUAUGAGUUAACUUUUGUAUAAUGUGUGAAGUAUGUUGAGAUUCAUUUAUUUUUUUUUCAAAUGGAUGUCUGACUAUUCUAGCACAAUUUGAUGAAAAGAGUCCUUUGCACCUUGGUAAAAAAUCAGUCGAUAUGUUUGUCUGGAUCUCUUUUUGUUCCAUUGGUCUACGUGUCUCUCUUCCGCCAACAUCACACGAUCUUGAGUACCUUAGCUUGAAAUUGGGUAAUAUGAGUCCUUUGACUUUAUCCUUUUUAGAAUUGAUUUGGAUGCUCUAGUUACUUUGCUUUCUCAUAUGUAUUUUAGAAUCAGCUUGUCUAAAUCUGCCAAAAAAUCUUGUUGGGAUUUUGAUUGGGAUUGUGUUGAACGUAUAGAUCAAAUUGGG